rnacentral:misc_RNA from 1 species
GAUGAAGAACGUAGCGAAAUGCGAUAAGUAAUGUGAAUUGCAGAAUUCAGUGAAUCAUCGAAUCUUUGAACGCACAUUGCGCCCAUCAGUAUUCUGUUGGGCAUGCCUGUCCGAGCGUCAUUUCAACCCUCAGGGCCCGUUCGCGGGAACUGGUGUUGGGGAUCGGCCUCCCCCCGGAGGCCGGCCCCGAAAUGCAGUGGCGGCUCUACCGCGAUCUCCUCUGUGUAGUAGCGAUACCUCGCAGCUGGAUAGUGGUGGUGCCACGCCGUAAAAUCCCAACUUUACCAAGGUUGACCUCGAAUCAGGUAGGAAUACCCGCUGAACUUAAGCAUAUCAAUAAGCGGAGGA